rnacentral:rRNA from 1 species
AGAGUUUGAUCCUGGCUCAGAUUGAACGCUGGCGGAAUGCUUUACACAUGCAAGUCGAACGGCAGCACGGAGAGCUUGCUCUCUGGUGGCGAGUGGCGAACGGGUGAGUAAUAUAUCGGAACGUGUCCAAUAAUGGGGGAUAACGAGUCGAAAGAUUCGCUAAUACCGCAUACGCCCUACGGGGGAAAGCAGGGGAUCGUAAGACCUUGCGUUAAUGGAGCGGCCGAUAUCUGAUUAGCUUGUUGGUGAGGUAAAGGCUCACCAAGGCGACGAUCAGUAGCUGGUUUGAGAGAACGACCAGCCACACUGGAACUGAGACACGGUCCAGACUCCUACGGGAGGCAGCAGUGGGGAAUUUUGGACAAUGGGGGCAACCCUGAUCCAGCCAUGCCGCGUGAGUGAAGAAGGCCUUCGGGUUGUAAAGCUCUUUCGUGGGGAACGAAACGGUUACGGCGAACACCCGUGACAACUGACGGUACCCCAAGAAGAAGCACCGGCUAACUACGUGCCAGCAGCCGCGGUAAA